rnacentral:rRNA from 1 species
UACGUAGGGUGCGAGCGUUGUCCGGAAUUACUGGGCGUAAAGAGCUCGUAGGUGGUUUGUCGCGUUGUUCGUGAAAACUCACAGCUUAACUGUGGGCGUGCGGGCGAUACGGGCAGACUGGAGUACUGCAGGGGAGACUGGAAUUCCUGGUGUAGCGGUGGAAUGCGCAGAUAUCAGGAGGAACACCGGUGGCGAAGGCGGCGACCUGGGUAGAUACUGACGCUGAGGUGCGAAAGCGUGGGGAGCAAACAGG